rnacentral:rRNA from 1 species
AUUGAACGCUGGCGGCAGGCCUAACACAUGCAAGUCGAAUGGUAACAGGAAACAGCUUGCUGUUUCGCUGACGAGUGGCGGACGGGUGAGUAAUGUCUGGGAAACUGCCUGAUGGAGGGGGAUAACUACUGGAAACGGUAGCUAAUACCGCAUAACGUCGCAAGACCAAAGAGGGGGACCUUCGGGCCUCUUGCCAUCAGAUGUGCCCAGAUGGGAUUAGCUAGUAGGUGGGGUAACGGCUCACCUAGGCGACGAUCCCUAGCUGGUCUGAGAGGAUGACCAGCCACACUGGAACUGAGACACGGUCCAGACUCCUACGGGAGGCAGCAGUGGGGAAUAUUGCACAAUGGGCGCAAGCCUGAUGCAGCCAUGCCGCGUGUAUGAAGAAGGCCUUCGGGUUGU